rnacentral:rRNA from 1 species
UACGUAGGGGGCAAGCGUUGUUCGGAUUUAUUGGGCGUAAAGAGCGUGUAGGCGGCCAUACAGGUCAGUUGUGAAAACUCGAGGCUCAACCUCGAGACGCCGAUGGAAACCAUCGAACUAGAGUCCGGAAGAGGAGAGUGGAAUUCCUGGUGUAGCGGUGAAAUGCGCAGAUAUCAGGAAGAACACCCGUGGCUAAGGCGGCUCUCUAGUACGGUACUGACGCUGAGACGCGAAAGCGUGGGGAGCGAACAGG